ACGUAUCAAAAGCAAGGAAAACAAUAAUGGGAGACUUUUCCACUUCUCUCUUUUGCCUCUGAUCUGCCUCCUUACCCAUCAAAAGACAGGAAAACAAUAAUAGCAGACUUUUCCACUUCUCUCUUUUGCCUGUGAUCUGCCUCCUUACCCAUCAAAAGACAGGAAAACAAUAAUAGCAGACUUUUCCACUUCUCUCUUUUGCCUGUGAUCUGCCUCCUUACGUAUCAAAAGACAGGAAAACAAUAAUAGCAGACUUUUCCACUUCUCUCUUUUGCCACUGAACUGCCUCCUUACGUAUCAAAAGACAGGAAAACAAUAAUAGCAGACUUUUCCACUUCUCUCUUCUGCCUCUGAUCUGCCUCCUUACCCAUCAAAAGACAGGAAAACAAUCAUGGCAGACUUUUCCACUUCUCUCUUUUGCCACUGAUCUGCCUCCUUACCCAUCAAAAGACAGGAAAACAUUAAUGGCAGACUUUUCCACUUCUCUCUUUUGCCUCUGAUCUGCCUCCUUACGUAUCAAAAGCAAGGAAAACAAUACAUAAUGAUAAAGAAAAACAUUAUUAUGGCUGAGAUGUGUUCUUUCGACAAGCCAAACGUCACCUUUCCGAAUAACAUCGAAUGGCGAACGAGUAACAUGCAAGUCCACCCUUAUGAAUCGCGCUACUAAAACACUCAACUGCGGAAGACCCUCCAUUUAGCGCAUUUCCAUAUAACGCGAUCUUGAGCAGACUCCUUCACACACACACAGACACCAAGAGCAGCAAGUAGCGGGCUUUUUUUUCAUUAUUGGUUUUUUUGUUUUGUUUUACGUCCUUGAACUGUCUCCUUUGCUGUAAAAAAAAUAAAUAAAUAAAAAUAAAUAAAAAAAAUGUCCAACUAGUCCCAGAUCAUCCUCACCGAACUAACGCCUCCACUUUGCUUCAAUUUCUUUGGUGUUUAUCGUACGUCAAAUAAAAGGUCUACUGUAUCAACGCCUCCCCUUACCCCCAAACAACACCUCCCUUCUGCUUGAGUUUCUUUAGUGACUAUCUCGCGUUAAAUCGAGGGAAAUUUUGGAAAGUUUCGUUUAGUCGGCGCAACAUCUGUGGUCAUAUGCUGGUUAAAUCGAGGGUCUUCUGUAUGAUUCCUCCCUUACAACUGGUGCUUCACGGCCCCCAAAGACAUGACUCCGGGAACCUUACAUGACAACUUGCAUCAGAGGAACCGUUGUGCAAGUCCGAAUACACAAUGAGACUCCCCAACAGUGAUUUCGGUAACUUGCGAAACGGUUCUCGGCUCUACAAAAACAUGGCUUAUAAAUAUACGUAUCCACACAUCCGACGGACAUGCGGACGUUUGAUAUGUUGGAAUAAAACGUGACUUUCCGCCUAACGUAUUGUAGUAUAGCUAUCUUAAUUCUGUCAUGGCGUUUGAGUGUACAAUGAGACAGCUAAAUGCUCUCUCACUCUCUCUCUCUGGCAACCACAGAUGGAUAGUGUUUGAUCCUGUUCCUGCCAACCCAACCCUUCAACACACGUCAUGAGUUUACACACACACACACACACACACACAUCACUCACUCAACAUCAAGGAAGAAAAAAACAACACUCGCCGUUCACUCGCUCAAAAAUACAUAAAAAAAGAGAGAUUGACACCAUUUACCUCCAUUCCUACACUAAAUUCUGAGGCACUGGAGGGGGGAGCACACCAGGGAGGGCCACCGAGCCAGCCAACCAGCACCAAGCGACAGAGAGAAGAACGGAGACCACGGACCAGGAAGCGGCGGAGGCGGCGGCGUGGGUAUACACCAUCCCUGUGCGCUGCCCCCCGAAAUAAGACCUGCUGGGGUAAGGACCUCGGGCAAGUCCUUCCCUGGGUACACGAUUGGCGAAAUGAUGAUGGAUGGUAUGUAAUGACUGUUUUAAGUUAAUGCUGCUGCCUAGUGCUGUAGUUUGACCUAGUCCUGUAAUGGCUACUAAGAUCUAAAAGUACUCUGCCUACUGUUGCCAGCUGUUGGGGUUGCUACUUUCUUAUGGCGGUGUGCAGGGUUCGGUAAUGUGUGUUUAAGUGUGUACUGGCUUGUGUAUUGGUGGGUUUUGUGGUUGUGUUAGUGCGAUGUGCCGUGCCGAGAGCGGAGACAUGCGUAUCUAUCUCCAUCGCAGCUGUUUUGGAGUCACAUUAUCGUCUAGCUUUCGUCAUCUUCCUCAUACUGGUUCUUCUGAUAUGCUCUCUUCAUUUGGAGGAGAGACACUGAUUGAGAGCCAGGUUAUGCAUAUUCCUCUCUCCUGCAGCUUUUAUGGACUCCCUGCAUAUCAUCAUCAUAGCUUUCACCUUCUUCAUGUUCCUCCCUGUCAUACUCUUUCAUAUUCGGAGGGUAGACACACUGGGCCUCUCUGACAAGGUUCAUACCGUGUCAAGUCAUGCCUAUUUUCACUGCAGCAUUUUUGGACUCCCAGCAAAUCAUCAUCAUAGCUGUCACCUUCUUCAUGUUGUUCCUCCCUCUCACUCUCAUAUUCGGAGGGUAGACACACUGGGCCUCUCUGACAAGGUUCAUAUCACGUGAAGAGUCAUGCGUACUUUCACUGCAGCAUUUUUGGUCUCCCUGCACAUCAUGGUCGAAGCUUUAUGUCGUAGGUUAUGGGAUGGCAAGACUUGGGUGUGCCGCGCCAAACAGCAUCUUGAAUUAGCCUUACUUUUCUUGAUCUUUACCUUACUUUAUCUUAUCUUCUACCUGUCUCUCUCUUAUCUCCAUUUAGGGUUACUGUUUUGGGGGUCACAGGAUGGUAAGACUUUGGGUGUGCCUUGAACUUGAACUUGCCUUUGAGUGUGUAAAUGGGAUGGUGAAGGUGUUUGUCUGUCAUGCCUUUCACAACAGGACAGACGGAUGUUCCCUUAGUAAGUAACACACCUCAGAGCAACCGACCGACAGCGCCUCCAAGUACGAACCGUGCAUAUCGAAAUGUUCUAAGGGUUUCCUGGUCCUCUGUCUCUUUAAGUGAUGUUUUUACUGUACGAUUUUCUUUGUUUUUAGUAAUUUGGAUGAUCAUACUGACAUAUAUUAUUACGGCUCCAAAUAUUCCAGACAAAUAUUCUUACAAUUCCAAAUAUUCCUGACACAAAUAUUCUUACUAUUCCAAAUAUUCCUGACACAAA